UACGAAGGGGCUAGCGUUGCUCGGAAUCACUGGGCGUAAAGCGCACGUAGGCGGAUCUUUAAGUCAGGGGUGAAAUCCCAAGGCUCAACCUUGGAACUGCCUUUGAUACUGGGGAUCUCGAGUCCGGAAGAGGUUGGUGGAACUCCGAGUGUAGAGGUGAAAUGCGUAGAUAUCUGGAGGAACACCGGUGGCGAAGGCGGCAUCCUGGACCAACACUGACGCUGAUGAGCGAAAGCCAGGGGAGCAAACGGG
rnacentral:rRNA from 1 species